AUUGAACGCUGGCGGCAUGCUUUACACAUGCAAGUCGAACGGUAACAGGCCGCAAGGUGCUGACGAGUGGCGAACGGGUGAGUAAUGCAUCGGAACGUGCCCAGUCGUGGGGGAUAACUACUCGAAAGAGUAGCUAAUACCGCAUACGAUCUAUGGAUGAAAGCGGGGGACCGUAAGGCCUCGCGCGAUUGGAGCGGCCGAUGUCAGAUUAGGUAGUUGGUGGGGUAAAGGCUCACCAAGCCAACGAUCUGUAGCUGGUCUGAGAGGACGACCAGCCACACUGGGACUGAGACACGGCCCAGACUCCUACGGGAGGCAGCAGUGGGGAAUUUUGGACAAUGGGCGCAAGCCUGAUCCAGCAAUGCCGCGUGCAGGAAGAAGGCCUUCGGGUUGUAAACUGCUUUUGCACGGAACGAAACGGCUCUGGUUAAUACCCGGGGCUAAUGACGGUACCGUAAGAAUAAGCACCGGCUAACUACGUG
rnacentral:rRNA from 1 species